rnacentral:lncRNA from 1 species
CUUGUGAUCGCUUAAUAUUCGCAACCAUAUAAGAAACCGACAAAUUUAUUUUACCAAAUUGCUCGUUAUAUCCUCAGGAUGAUUUAAUUUAUUUUGACCGAAGCUAUCCGGAGACUCCAUAUGAGAGUUAUUCCCCUUUUGUAUUUGAUAUAAGUGAAAUGUACUUUCAACUGGAAAACCAUAAGUGAUAAAGGUCUAGGGUCUUUUGAUUUGAGGUCCUUGGUCCAAAAAAAUGAAAAUGAGUCAAGGUCAAGGGUCAAGGUCAUGUUCAAAAUUUUGAUUUUGGCUUGUGAUCUCUUAUUUUCAGAAAUCUAAUAAGAUAUCGACAAAAUAUUUUGACACAAUUGUUAGUUGCGACAUGUCGUAACACGUAAAUAUUAGUUGAAAGAGUAUGUAGACAUUUGAGGUGAGUUUUCCCCCUUUUAUAUCUAAUAUUAGUUGUAUGGUAAUAUAACUCAUUAACAGUAUAAGGUAGAGGCCUAGAGUCUUUUGAUUUGAGGUCCUUGGCUGAUGACCUUGGAAUUGCGCUCAAGGUCAUAGGUUAAAUUUACGUUCUAGAUUUGACCUUUGCUUUUACCUCAUAUGUAUUCAUGAUAAAGCCAUGGGGCUUUUUGCAUUAGGUUGCAAGCAAUGUGAUCUAGAAAAAGCCAACCAGAAGUGACAAUUUGUAAACCGGAAGUAGCUAUAUUUUGUACUAAAUUAAUUUAAAAGUAUAUAGAACCAUAUAUUUUUGGAAUUAGUGUCAAGUAAAUUAUCAAAAAAAACCGGAAGUAACAUCUUUUAAACCGGAAGUAAAGAAU